GACGGAAGGUGCAAGCGUUGCUCGGAAUCACUGGGCGUAAAGGGUGCGUAGGCGGCCGCGCAAGGCUGGCGUGAAAGCCCCGGGCUCAGCCCGGGAAGGGCGCUCGAAACGGCGCGGCUCGAGUGCCGGAGGGGAGAGUGGAAUUCCUGGUGUAGCGGUGAAAUGCGUAGAUAUCAGGAGGAAUACCGGUGGCGAAAGCGACUCUCUGGACGGCAACUGACGCUGAGGCACGAAAGCCAGGGGAGCAAACGGG
rnacentral:rRNA from 1 species